UACGUAGGAUCCGAGCGUUAUCCGGACUUAUUGGGUUUAAAGGGUGCGUAGGCGGUUUGAUAAGUUAGAGGUGAAAUGUCGGGGCUCAACCCCGAAACUGCCUCUAAUACUGUUGGACUAGAGAAUAGUUGCGGUAGGCGGAAUGUAUGGUGUAGCGGUGAAAUGCUUAGAGAUCAUACAGAACACCGAUUGCGAAGGCAGCUUACCAAACUAUAUCUGACGUUGAGGCACGAAAGCGUGGGUAGCAAACAGG
rnacentral:rRNA from 1 species